GACAGGGGUUUCCAGCACAUUCGUUGACCUGGAUCUCACAGCUGGCCCCAGUGAAGCCAGGCCUGCAGGAACAGGUGUAGCUGCCCUGACCAGUGUUGCUACAAGUGGCUCCAUUCAUGCAGGGCUUGUGACUUUUAAAUGUUUCCGAACGAUGAAUGACUGGAGAGGUGACGUACUGCGAAGAUCCUGUGCCAAAACUUUGUAAAGCUUUUUCUCAAGAUCACUUUUUGUCCAUUUUCUAGUCUUCAGUAAGCAUUACUUUAUUUAUUCACAAUCGAGGUUGCCCGUCAAAAGACAUUGAGGCAUCAGGAGAAAAAUUAGGCUAAAUUUGGUUGAAAAGUCAGGGUAUUUUAGACGUAUAACUUCUGUUUAAACAGCAUUUCAAUUAGCAUGCUUCCAAAUGUAGUUGGGGCCUGCUUCUUAAUGAAAUAUAUUCAUCAAAAUGCUGUUGAAUGAAGAGUUUUAUGUAACCUAGACUUCUAAACAAUGUUCACUUUUUAACCUAACAACGCCAAGACUUUCCGUCUUUCGACCAACAAAUCACCCCAUCAGUGCUCUCUGGUUCCUUUCCUCUCUGUGUUUCCUCAUCACUCGUUACCCCCCCCCCCAACCUCAUCACACUCUCUCCUCACCUUGGUUGCAGAAGAGUCCCCCCCAGCCCUCCUGACAGUUGCACUGCCAUGGCUGCUGGCAGGUCCCGUGGAGGCAGCCCGGAUAACGAAUGCACUCAUCGCAGUAACGGCCUUUGAAUCCCACUCUGCACCUGUUGUUGUCCAAUUAGGAGGGAACACCGGUCAGUCCACUCACAUUACCUCAUGUGUCCCACUAAUUAAUUAACGCCCCAGUGAACCGGUGGAG